AAGCGUGACAUAUUACAUACGGUACUCCUCCCCUUAUUUUAGAACAAUGAGCAAAUGCAAUUAGUUGUACAAAUCCCAUUUUUUGUAGAAAAUAAGACUGCAUUCUUAUUGUAAAAUCCUGUUUAGUUUAAACCCAACUGAGGACACAUUAAUAGCACAGAGCAAAAAUGACCCAACUUCAUAAGUAUUUCUUAUUUGUGUUUUUUAUUAAUUUAUCACACUCAGAAAUAUCAAGGGAUACUAACCUCGUAAAGUUUGUAUACUACGGGUCCGGUUUUGGGAGAAAUGAGUCUGGCACCGAAAUUGAUAUGACAUCAAACUCGAAACCAAGUCUUAUUCGAGACAAUGCCAAAACCACCUUUGUCAUCGAUGGAUUUCUCUCCCACGGUAACACACCAAUGUCACAAACUAUCAAGGAUGCCCUAGUUAAAACUCGACCCUCCGAAAAUGUAAUUGUGAUUGACUGGGGGGCACUUUCUGGUUCCGGGAAUCCCAUCGUGGCCCUCAACUUGCUUCGAACUUCGCAAACCUACUUGUUCGUACUUGGCAAUGUGGGUCCAGUGGGACGGAAGGUGGCUGAAUUUGUCAACUAUCUGGCAAAAGUCGCUUCCAUUGAACCGUCUCAGAUGCAUGUGAUAGGUCACAGCCUUGGUGCUCAUAUCGCUGGCGCGGUGGGGUUCUGGGCUACCAGCGAUUUCGGAAAAAAUAUGACAUUGGGAAGAAUAACCGGAUUGGAUCCUGCGGGUCCAUUUUUUAGCGGUGGGCUUAACAUGGAUAGACGACUGUCUAAAGGGGACGCCACAUUUGUAGACAUUUACCAUACAAAUAGAAACGGGUUGGGUGACAGUGAUCAUAGAUUAGGAGACGUGGACGUUUACGUUAAUGGGGGAGAUAAUCAACCUGGUUGUGGAAAUGUUGAAAAGAAAGAAAUUUGCUCUCAUUCCUACUCCUGGAAAUUGUACGCUGCCACAUUCUACCGAGACAUAAAGGCUUGUCCGUGCAUGGGAUUGGUCUGUCAGUGCAGGGCAAACUGCAGGAUAAGCUGCCCCGAUUCUAUACCAAUUGGGGUCAAUAUUCCAACAGGAUCUCGAGGAGCAUACCAUGUCGUCGAGAAGGAUACAUUUCAAUGAACAUUGUAGUUCGUUACUUGUACAAAUAGGUAGGUUGCGAGUUUACGGGUUCUCACGUCAACGCUAACGUAAACGUAAAAUUUGGCGUUAACGUUUACGUUUACGGGAUGCACGAAUUUCGUGUGUGCGAAUUAACGUGAACGUAAACCUGUGCGCUAAAUUUGAAUUUAAUUCCAAUGGUUUGUUUACAUUCUUCAUGCAAUAUUUGCUCAUUAUAAUUAAUUAAUUUAUCUGAUUAUAAACUAGCUUGAAAUACCAGUGUUUUCAAAACAAAUAAUAAAGUUACUGUCGGUAUUGACCGACUUCGAAAUAGAAGACAUUCUUCGUUCAAAUAAUUUAAAUUAAUCAAUUAAAAGAAUUACAAUUUUUAAAUUAAACUCCAUGGUGUACGAGUUCUUUUUCCUAAACUUUGGAUUUUACAAAAAUAAGUUUGAAACUUAUAUGCACCCUUAAACUUCGGGGUACGAUUGCUUGUCAGCGAGGACACUUCGUGCAUUACUCUGAGGAUUGCAUAUCCCAGCAGAUUUGUGGACUUGAUGUUACUUUUUCUUCUUGCUCAUUGCAGUCACGGAUUUUUCACGGCAACCAAACUUCGGAUACUUUUGUGAAGCAAUUCCAGAUCAUGAGUAUUUACAUUUUCCAUGAAAUUGUGUGUAUAAGAAAUCUAGGCCAUGUACUAAACCUUUAUUCUUGUAAUGUAUAAACAAUAAAUUUACUUGUUUCUAAUUAAA